rnacentral:rRNA from 1 species
CCCGCGACAAGCGUGGAUGAUGUGGAUUAAUUCGAUGCAACGCGAAGAACCUUACUACCCUUGACAUGUCCGGAACUUGCCAGAGAUGGCUUGGUGCCAAGGGAAUCGGAACACAGGUGCUGCAUGGCUGUCGUCAGCUCGUGUCGUGAGAUGUUGGGUUAAGUCCCGCAACGAGCGCAACCCUUAUCAUUAGUUGCUACGCAAGGGCACUCUAAUGAGACUGCCGGCGACAAACCGGAGGAAGGUGGGGAUGACGUCAAGUCCUCAUGGCCCUUAUGGGUAGGGCUUCACACGUCAUACAAUGGUCGGUACAGAGGGUUGCCAAGCCGCGAGGCGGAGCCAAUCCCACAAAGCCGAUCGUAGUCCGGAUUGUUCUCUGCAACUCGAGAGCAUGAAGCCGGAAUCGCUAGUAAUCGCAGGUCAGCAUACUGCGGUGAAUACGUUCCCGGGUCUU